rnacentral:tRNA from 1 species
GAAAAACUAGUUAAAUUAUAACAUAAGAUUGUCACUCUUAAAUAACCCCCACCGUGUUUUUUA